UGAGGAAUAUUGGUCAAUGGGCGCAAGCCUGAACCAGCCAUGCCGCGUGCAGGAAGACGGUCCUAUGGAUUGUAAACUGCUUUUAUACAAGAAGAAACACUCUCUCGUGAGGGAGCUUGACGGUAUUGUAUGAAUAAGCAUCGGCUAACUCCGUGCCAGCAGCCGCGGUAAUACGGAGGAUGCGAGCGUUAUCCGGAAUCAUUGGGUUUAAAGGGUCCGUAGGCGGUUUAAUAAGUCAGUGGUGAAAGCCCAUCGCUCAACGAUGGAACUGCCAUUGAUACUGUUAGACUUGAAUUAUAGUGAAGUAGCUAGAAUAUGUAGUGUAGCGGUGAAAUGCUUAGAUAUUACAUGGAAUACCAAUUGCGAAGGCAGGUUACUAACUAUAUAUUGACGCUGAUGG
rnacentral:rRNA from 1 species